GGUUGCGAUCAUAACCAGCACUAAUGCACCGGAUCCCAUCAGAACUCCGCAGUUAAGCGUGCUUGGGCGAGAGUAGUACUGGGAUGGGUGACCCCCUGGGAAGUCCUCGUGUUGCAACCCCCUUUUUUUUCGUUUUUUGGUUUAUUUUAUUUACUAGUCGCUGUAUCUUUGGCGUAGCAUGCGAGCGGCCGAUUUUGUGAAAGGAAGGCUUUGACGGUGCGAAUGGGAUCAAGGCGUGGAAAGGUAUAAAGGAAUAAGGAGAAGGUAUUCUUUCGGUUGCGAUCAUACCAGCACUAAUGCACCGGAUCCCAUCAGAACUCCGCAGUUAAGCGUGCUUGGGCGAGAGUAGUACUAGGAUGGGUGACCCGCUGGGAGUCCUCGUGUUGCAACCC
rnacentral:lncRNA from 1 species